CCUACGGGUGGCUGCAGUGGGGAAUAUUGGACAAUGGGCGAAAGCCUGAUCCGGCCAUGCCGCGUGUGUGAAGAAGGCCUUCGGGUUGUAAAGCACUUUCAGUGGGGAAGAAAGCCUUGGGGCUAAUACCCUCGAGGAAGGACAUCACCCACAGAAGAAGCACCGGCUAACUCCGUGCCAGCAGCCGCGGUAAUACGGAGGGUGCGAGCGUUAAUCGGAAUUACUGGGCGUAAAGCGCGCGUAGGCGGUCUGAUAAGCCGGUUGUGAAAGCCCCGGGCUCAACCUGGGAACGGCAUCCGGAACUGUCAGGCUAGAGUGCAGGAGAGGAAGGUAGAAUUCCCGGUGUAGCAGUGAAAUGCGUAGAGAUCGGGAGGAAUACCAGUGGCGAAGGCGGCCUUCUGGACUGACACUGACGCUGAGGUGCGAAAGCGUGGGUAGCAAACAGGAUUAGAUACCCGAGUAGUC
rnacentral:rRNA from 1 species